rnacentral:rRNA from 1 species
CAAAAUUGCGGGUGGUCUAUAAUGCGAGUCCAGCGAUGGAUUGAGAGCUUGCUCUCAAGAAGUUAGCGGCGGACGGGUGAGUAACACGUGGGUAACCUGCCCAUAAAACUGGGAUAACUCCGGGAAACCGGGGCUAAUACCGGAUAACAUUUUGAACUGCAUGGUUCGAAAUUGAAAGGCGGCUUCGGCUGUCACUUAUGGAUGGACCCGCGUCGCAUUAGCUAGUUGGUGAGGUAACGGCUCACCAAGGCAACGAUGCGUAGCCGACCUGAAAGGGUGAUCGGCCACACUGGGACUGAAACACGGCCCAAACUCCUACGGGAGGCAGCAGUAGGGAAUCUUCCGCAAUGGACGAAAGUCUGACGGAACAACGCCGCGUGAGUGAUGAAGGCUUUCGGGUCGUAAAACUCUGUUGUUAGGGAAGAACAAGUGCUAGUUGAAUAAGCUGGCACCUUGACGGUACCUAACCAGAAAGCCACGGCUAACUACGUGCCAGCAGCCGCGGUAAUACGUAGGUGGCAAGCGUUAUCCGGAAUUAUUGGGCGUAAAGCGCGCGCAGGUGGUUUCUUAAUUCUGAUGUGAAAGCCCACGGCUCAACCGUGGAGGGUCAUUGGAAACUGGGAGACUUGAGUGCAGAAGAGGAAAGUGGAAUUCCAUGUGUAGCGGUGAAAUGCGUAGAGAUAUGGAGGAACACCAGUGGCGAAGGCGACUUUCUGGUCUGUAACUGACACUGAGGCGCGAAAGCGUGGGGAGCAAACAGGAUUAGAUACCCUGGUACUCCACGCCGUAAACGAUGAGUGCUAAGUGUUAGAGGGUUUCCGCCCUUUAGUGCUGAAGUUAACGCAUUAAGCACUCCGCCCGGGGAGUACGGCCGCCAGGCUGAAACUCAAAGGAAUUGACAGGGGCCCCGCACCAGCGGUGGAGCAUGUGUUUAAUUCGAAACAACGCGAAGAAACAUUACCAGUGGUGGACAUCGCUCUGAAAACCCUAAAGAUAGGGCUUCUCCUUCCGGGAGCAGAGUGACAGUGCUGCAU